CGUAGGGGGCAAGCGUUGUCCGGAUUUAUUGGGCGUAAAGCGCGCGUAGGCGGCAAGGUAUGUCGUGCGUGAAAUCUCCCGGCGUUAACUGGGAGGGGCCGUGCGAAACUGCCUGGCUUGAGGUCGGAAGGGGAAAGUGGAAUUCCGGGUGUAGUGGUGGAAUACGUAGAUAUCCGGAGGAACACCAGCGGCGAAGGCGGCUUUCUGGUCCGAUUCUGACGCUGAGGCGCGAAAGCGUGGGGAGCGAUCCGGAUUAGAUACCCGGGUAGUCCACGCCGUAAACGAUGAGUACUAGGUGUCGGGGGUAUCGACCCCCUCGGUGCCGUCGCUAACGCAUUAAGUACUCCGCCUGGGGACUACGGCCGCAAGGCUA
rnacentral:rRNA from 1 species